rnacentral:rRNA from 1 species
UGAACGCUGGCGGCGUGCCUAAUACAUGCAAGUCGAGCGACAGAUGAGGAGCUUGCUCCUCUGACGUUAGCGGCGGACGGGUGAGUAACACGUGGAUAACCUACCUAUAAGACUGGGAUAACUUCGGGAAACCGGAGCUAAUACCGGAUAAUAUAUUGAACCGCAUGGUUCAAUAGUGAAAGACGGUUUUGCUGUCACUUAUAGAUGGAUCCGCGCCGCAUUAGCUAGUUGGUAAGGUAACGGCUUACCAAGGCAACGAUGCGUAGCCGACCUGAGAGGGUGAUCGGCCACACUGGAACUGAGACACGGUCCAGACUCCUACGGGAGGCAGCAGUAGGGAAUCUUCCGCAAUGGGCGAAAGCUUGACGGAGCAACGCCGCGUGAGUGAUGAAGGUCUUCGGAUCGUAAAACUCUGUUAUUAGGGAAGAACAAAUGUGUAAGUAACUAUGCACGUCUUGACGGUACCUAAUCAGAAAGCCACGGCUAACUACGUG